rnacentral:rRNA from 1 species
GACGAACGCUGGCGGCGUGCUUAACACAUGCAAGUCGAACGGAAAGUCCCUGCUUUUGUGUUGUGCUCGAGUGGCGAACGGGUGAGUAACACGUGAGUAACCUGCCCUUUACUUUGGGAUAACUUCAGGAAACUGGGGCUAAUACCGGAUAGAAUCUCCUGCUGCUUGGUUGGGGUUGUAAAGUUUCGGCGGUUGGGGAUGGACUCGCGGCUUAUCAGCUUGUUGGGGGGGUAGUGGCGUACCAAGGCUUUGACGGGUAGCCGGCCUGAGAGGGUGACCGGCCACCUUGGGACUGAGGUAGGGCGCAGAAUGCUACCGGAGGCAGUAGUGGCGAAUAUGGCAGAAUGGGCGGAAGCCUGAUGAAGCGACUCCGGGUGCGGGAUGACGGGCUUCGGGUUGUAAACCGCUUUCGCCUGUGACGAAGCGUGAGUGACGGUAAUGGGUAAAGAAGCACCGGCUAACUACGUG